rnacentral:lncRNA from 1 species
AUGGCUCCCACAAAGAAACGUGGUGAGAAGGGCCGUUCCGCCAUCAAAGAGGUGGUGAUCCAAUAAUACACCACCAACAUUCACAAGUACAUACAGGAAGUGGACUUCAAGAAGUAUGCCCCUUAGGCACUCAAAGAGAUCUGGAAAUUUUCCAUGAAAGAGACGGGGAACUCCAGAUGUGUGCAUUGAUACCAGGCUCAACAAAGCUGCCUGGGCCAAAGGAAUAAGGAAUGUCCCAUACCAUAUCCACGUUGGGUUGUCCAGAAAACUUAAUGAGGAUGAAGAUUCACUAAAUAAGCUCUGCACUUUGGUUACCUACAUAACUGUUACCACUUUCAAAAUGUACAGAAAGUCAAUGUGAAUGAGAACUAG